rnacentral:lncRNA from 1 species
AAAGUUAUGUAGCAGGUGACGUGCAGGUAACAAAUGACUCGGCGUGCGGCCUUGUGGUCUAUGACGACCAACUCAUCGACACAUCACUUUCGUGAUCGCCAGCCAACGCCACAGACGCCAUGUCUCGCAGUCACUUUUUCUUGAUCGCCCUGUCGCUCGCCGUGGUGGUGGCGUAUUGUUCCGCGAUUCCGGUGGAAGUGGACGAGGUUGCUGCCAAUCCAGUAACCAUUGACGAAUCAUUAGCUCCCAACGAACGACCGAAACGUUAAUUUCUUGCAGGACUCUUGAUUGGAAAAGCUCUUGGUACUGGGUACGGUUACGGAUUGGGUCGGUCAGCUCAUUACGGAGGCUAUGGAUACCCCGGCCACUACUACGGGAGACCUUACGGCUAUGGAUACGGAGGCCACCACUACUGGUAGAAAGAAGAUGGACUAAUAUUUUUACGCACUUUGGCGAAUUUCCAGUUGUCAUUAUUACUGCCAUUAAGUAUAGACAAUGAUUAACAUUAUUUUGAUGGCUUGGCACCAGCUUCAUAUGCAUAUGUACACCGUUUACUAACUUUGAUGGAAUUAUUGGACUGCAAUUCGAGUAAAUAUAAUUUAUUGUUAAUAUUUCGUAAUUA